rnacentral:rRNA from 1 species
AUAUCAAUAAGCGGAGGAAAAGAAACCAACAGGGAUUGCCUCAGUAACGGCGAGUGAAGCGGCAAGAGCUCAAAUUUGAAAUCUGGCCCCUUCGGGGUCCGAGUUGUAAUUUGGAGAGGAUGCUUCGGGCGUGGUCCCCGUCUAAGUGCCCUGGAACGGGCCGUCAUAGAGGGUGAGAAUCCCGUCUGGGAUGGGUGGCCUCGCCCGUGUGAAGCUCCUUCGAAGAGUCGAGUUGUUUGGGAAUGCAGCUCUAAGAGGGUGGUAAAUUUCAUCUAAAGCUAAAUAUUGGCCGGAGACCGAUAGCGCACAAGUAGAGUGAUCGAAAGAUGAAAAGCACUUUGAAAAGAGAGUUAAACAGCAC